GCCCACUUCCUUCUGAGAAGGACCAUGGAUUGUUCCCCUGGACAAGAGCUCAAAGACACCUCUGGUCAAGCCAGCUCGGAAAACCAAGGAAGGACCCAGAUGUGUGGAAACCAGAGAGGCUGUCAGACUGAGGUGUGAAAAAGUCAGCCCAGGCAGCAGAACUCCAUCUGGAGAUCAAAUGAUGUACAGUGGGCUUGCAGCAGACUUCCAAAGAAGUGGCUGUACUAAAUCUGGGGCCAAUAUGGAGCCAUAUCCUGCCCUAGCAGAGCAGGACUGGAAGACAAUUUCUUCUUCAAAGCAAAGGGAGGCUAUGGAGAACGCGAAGAAAUGGACUCUUAAACGUACGGCAAAAGGCGAGCGUGACUGGGAGUCUGGGGAAGUGAAGACGGGGAACGAAGCCUCAGGUCAGGUUUGUCUUCGAAGGAGACAGGCUGGCCCCGAGAGGAGAAGGGGAAGCCCGCAGUGGUGGUGAGUGGGAGUGACCUCGCUGUUCUGAAAUGCUGGCUCAGCCCAGUGAAUAGGCGUAUGUUCUCUGUCUUGAGAAGACAGAAGGCGAUCAGCAUUUGGCCAUUCCAUGCCUUGGCAUCAGUAAUCAUAUUCCAACACCAGCUGUCCACACAGCACUUCUUUCAGUGACCCUGGCCUCCUAGAACUAGAACCAGUCUUGCAGGUUAAAAGUUCUUCAGACUGCCAGGAGCCGGUGACAUUCGAGGACGUCACAGUGGUCUUCACGGAGGCCGAAUGGGAGAGGCUGAGCUCUGAGUAGAAGAACCUCCACAGAGAAGUCAUGCUGGAGGUGUACAGGGAUCUGCUCUCCUUGGCAGAUCCAGAGCCAGGAAUCGACCCCUCUGCCUCCCGCCUCCUGACUCUCUCCUGUCAGCAGUUCCUCAGCCAGCGUGAGCGUCAGCUCUUCCCAGGCUUCUGUGUAGAACAUCACCUCCAUCCUUGGGGGUCCAGCCCAGGGCCUCAGAAGCAGCUGGAGCAGCAGGAGUCUCCUCAGAGCUGCAGGAGUGGGAACACAGAGAGAGAAGAUGUCUCGACACGUUUGUGGGAGAGAGAGAUGUCAAGGGCAUUCUCCAGGCCACCCCAGAGACCCUCACGAAGCCCCAGAGAAGGCAACACAGUGGUAGGAAUACGGCCCAACUCAGCCCCAAGGGUGAGCUCUGUGGAAACAGACAAGGGGUUGAAGAACUUCGAAACCUCAAGAUUUGGAGCACUCACCUCUGCAGAGGAUGGACCAGACUGUGGCCUGAAACCAAAGCUCAUCACAAAGCAGAGGUCCCUCUUCCGGGAGAAACCCUAUAUUUGUAGUGAGUGCGGGCGAGGCUUCACCUUCAAGUCGAAUUUCCUCAGACACCAGAGGACACACUCAGGGGAGAAGCCACAUGUGUGUAAGGAGUGUGGGCGAGGCUUCAACCGCAAGUCAAAUCUCAUCACACACUAGAGGACACACUCCGGGGAGAAGCCGUACUUGUGCCUGGAGUGCGGGCGAGGCUUCAGCCAGAAGUAGGCCUGGUUAUGCACCAGAGGACACACUCAGAGGAGAAGCCAUAUGCGUGUCAGGAGUGCGGCUGAGACUUUAGGCGCAUAUCACUUCUCAUCAGACACCAGAGGACACACUCCGGGGAGAAGCCACAUGUGUGCAGUGUGUGUGGCCGAGGUUUUACCCAGAAGUCAGUCCUCCUUCUGCACCAGAGGACACACUCAGAGGAAAAGCCAUAUGCAUGUAAGGAGUGUGGCCGAGACUUUAGCCGCAUCUCAAAUCUCAUCAUUCACCAGAGGACACACUCGGGGGAGAAGCCACAUGUAUGCAGUGUGUGUGGCCGAGGCUUUACCCAGAAGUCAGGCCUCCUUCUGAACCAGAGGACACACUCCGGGGAGAAGCCCUAUGUGUGCAAGCAGUGCGGGCAAGACUUCAGGAUUAAGCAAAACCUCAUUGGACAUCAGCGGGUUCACUAGAGCAAACCCUGUGAUUACAGUGCGUGUGGCUGAGGCUUAGCCCAGUGAUUCCCACGCUGUUGCCCCCGGUGGGGCUCUGGAACAAUCAGGAGUGGGGUGGGCGGUAAGGGGGAUUGCCAGUAGUCUUGGGGCAUUGAAGACGAGAAGAAAAUGUAAGUCUGGUAGGCUAAAUGAGUUUGGGAAACUCUGCUUUCUCUAGAAUCAAACCUCCUCAGACAUCAGAAGACACAUGCCUUUGAGAAGUUUUGUUUGUAGUGAGUGUGGCCAUUGUUUUAACUGCAAGUCCCGCCUCACACGCCAGAGGACAAAGAACAGAAGCUGUCCAGGGACAGGGAGCAUGGGCAAGAAUUUGGAAGAAAGACACACUUCAUUUCAGUUUUUUUCCUUUUAUACACCUUUCUGCUGUUCUCUGCUUUCCUCCAAGAUCCCCCUGACAUCAGCAGUAAUAGCCUUCCUUCCACCGCCUCUUGAAUCUGGCCUGGAAAUCCAAGUUCCCUGUCUAUGUACUGCUACAACCAUUUCUAACUAGCUUGGGCAACAUUUUACUUACAUGUAAUAUAAAUU